ACUCCUACGGGAGGCAGCAGUAGGGAAUCUUCCACAAUGGGCGCAAGCCUGAUGGAGCAACACCGCGUGAGUGAAGAAGGGUUUCGGGUCUCGUAAAGCUCUGUUGUUAAAGAAGAACACGUAUGAGAGUAACUGUUCAUACGUUGACGGUAUUUAACCAGAAAGUCACGGCUAACUACGUGCCAGCAGCCGCGGUAAUACGUAGGUGGCAAGCGUUAUCCGGAUUUAUUGGGCGUAAAGAGAGUGCAGGCGGUUUUCUAAGUUCUGAUGUGAAAGCCUUCGGCUUAACCGGAGAAGUGCAUCGGAAACUGGAUAACUUGAGUGCAGAAGAGGGUAGUGGAACUCCAUGUGUAGCGGUGGAAUGCGUAGACAUAUGGAAGAACACCAGUGGCGAAGGCGGCUACCUGGUCUGCAACUGACGCUGAGACUCGAAAGCAUGGGUAGCGAACAGGAUUAGAUACCCUGGUAGCUCGAUG
rnacentral:rRNA from 1 species